rnacentral:rRNA from 1 species
UACAGAGGGGGCAAGCGUUAUUCGGAAUUAUUGGGCGUAAAGGGCGCGUAGGCGGCCUGGCAAGUGGAAGGUGAAAUCCCUCGGCUUAACCGAGGAACUGCCCUCCAAACUGCUUGGCUUGAGUCCGGGAGAGGUGAGUGGAAUUCCCAGUGUAGCGGUGAAAUGCGUAGAUAUUGGGAAGAACACCGGUGGCGAAGGCGGCUCUCUGGACCGAGACUGACGCUGAGGCGCGAAAGCGUGGGGAGCAAACAGG